CCUAGUUAGCAGCUGGCUGUUAGCAGCUCUUUCUUUUUUGAAAGUGGGACAUUUCUUCCUUCAGGUUGUGAACAAUUAGCCAUGGGGAAUUUUACUCAGGAAGGAGAUGCCACUAUGUGACUGGACUCCUGCUCAGCUGUGGCAGCCUGGAGCGGCAAAAGGAAGAACAAGAGUAAUGACUGUCAUCUAAGGCAGUGGUUCUCAACCCUGGCCACACGUCACAACCAUCGGGAAAAGUCGAGUCACUUUCUAAACCAGGUUACAUGAAGCAGACGUUAGGGAGGCUGCCAGGACCAGUAACUCCUCAGCUCCUACUUCACCUGCUCUUUGAAGGCCAAGGGAAGACUUCAUUAAAGAAUUCAUCCUGCUCCCUGCACCUCCAGACAAGAAGGCACAACAUUUCCAGAGACAGACCAGAUUCUCUGAAAAGACCCAACAAAUUCAACAGCUUUUAAAUAGUCACUGGGUGCAAAGGGUAUCUUUGCUAAAGAGACAGAUUAGUAAAUGGACAGGAGCUGACACUGUGAGUUCCUUACUCAGACAGCAGCUCUGGUCCUCAGGG
rnacentral:lncRNA from 1 species